rnacentral:rRNA from 1 species
GAUGAACGCUGGCGGCGUGCCUAAUACAUGCAAGUCGAGCGAACAGACGAGGAGCUUGCUCCUCUGACGUUAGCGGCGGACGGGUGAGUAACACGUGGAUAACCUACCUAUAAGACUGGGAUAACUUCGGGAAACCGGAGCUAAUACCGGAUAAUAUAUUGAACCGCAUGGUUCAAUAGUGAAAGACGGUUUUGCUGUCACUUAUAGAUGGAUCCGCGCCGCAUUAGCUAGUUGGUAAGGUAACGGCUUACCAAGGCAACGAUGCGUAGCCGACCUGAGAGGGUGAUCGGCCACACUGGAACUGAGACACGGUCCAGACUCCUACGGGAGGCAGCAGUAGGGAAUCUUCCGCAAUGGGCGAAAGCCUGACGGAGAAACGCCGCGUGAGUGAUGAAGGUCUUCGGAUCGUAAAACUCUGUUAUUAGGGAAGAACAAAUGUGUAAGUAACUAUGCACGUCUUGACGGUACCUAAUCAGAAAGCCACGGCUAACUACGUGC